rnacentral:lncRNA from 1 species
GACUUGACUACAGUCGAAUACAUGUUGGGAAUCAUUCCCAAUCAUAAGACAUCGUCGUUUCUGUAGGAUGACUGCAUAUGUUCAGAGUAGCUUUUUGAAUUUGGUUCCCUUAGCUUUAGGGAUGUGAUGUUAUAGUCCAAAAUGUUUACAAGAAAACCUAAGUCUUCAAAAGCACAACUUUUGUUGCUUAGGACUUUGCAUCAACUGUUGUUCCAGACCUCACUUCAACUUCUUGGUCUCUGAACUGGUUUUAGCUAGCAUGCAUGAGAGACAGUUUUCAUGUAUAAUGUUUCUGCUCUGUAACUGGAAAGUGGUUUACUUUGCAUAAAUGCUGAUGAAAACUUCAUGACUAUGAGACUUUUCUUCUGUGUAUCAAGAAAAAGCUUGCUCGUUGGCAAGCAAUUCACAAGGUGGGGACAGACUUGUACUUUAACAUGUAGUCCAUUCAAGCAAACAACUUUGGACUCUACUGAUAGAUGAAAGAGCAAAUGAUGACUAGUUUAGCCUCUGCAUAUCAACAAUAUAAUGCAGAUCAAGUAUAAUGCUCAAUAUUAGUGACAUGAGUAUCACUAAAUUACAUAGAACCCUGAUGGGGUUUCCUGUGUCGUAAUCCAUUAAAUCGGUGGCCAGUGCUUGCUGCCGUGGUUUAGUGAUUGGGUGUUAGAAAUAAAAACUCAGGUCUAUUUCUUACCAGUCAGUAACAAUUUUUAGAGAAUGUACUUGGUAUAUAAUAUAUGGACUUCAGGAACUUUAUUGGGGUGGGGGGUUAAUUUUGCCUUACCCUGUUCACUUUCAGAUGAUUAGGCUUUUGCACUUUAGAAUGAGAAACUUGUGACGUUAGUGUGUUCUUACUAGCUUUAAUUUGUAUGUAGCAAUGAAUUGUGAAUCUUAGUGCAGUGGGUUUUUUUAAAAAACUCAAAAAGCUGGGAAUUAAGUGGUUUCAGUAAUAAUGCUAUACCGAGGUGCUUGCAUUGUAUUUCAUAAUUUUGUUACAAACCAAAAUUAUUUUUAAUGAGAACAGUCUUGGGUUCAGAGGUGUGAUGCCAGAAUGUAUUUUCGUACUGUUAGGCCCUUGGAACAGAUACCGGUGCUUUCUGAAAGAUGAAAGAAAUGCAAUGGGUGCUCUUCAUGCAAGGUUGCAAACCUACCAAGAAUGCAUAAUAGUCUCACUUUUCCCCAAUAAAGAGAUGCGUGUGACUAGUUUUGGACUUUUAACCUUAAUGGGGGUUGCAUGUCUCCUAUUGUUAAUCAUUGUCAGCUGCAGUGACAUGAUCCACAGUCCUGCAUUUACUGCCUUUCACUUAAUGAUUUUGGACAGGUUUUAGAGAGCCAGGAUGUUGGUCUGGGCCUUUAUUUGGUUUUGGCUUUAGCUGAUAAUGUUUUAGUGAUGUCAGCUAGUGCAGUUCUCAAAUGGCUGCCUAUUAGGGAAAGAAUUCAGAGGAUUUGACUGCUCCUAAUCAUCUGUCAUUGCUGCUAGAUAAUGAUUGGCAAUUUUUAAGACUCAACUGGAAAUCUCAACAGUUGCUGGUAAACCAUUAACCAUAAAAACGUUGCUUUUGAACACCAGUGCUGAAAAAAAUAUUUUUUUUUUUUUUUUUGAGAGUGAAAAGGGCUUGGACUUAAGAUAGGACAAUGUGGAGAAUGGGGGGAAGAAUGCAAAACGAUAUAGUAUCCCUUAUGGAUGGUACAUGUGCAACAGGGAACUCUUACUUCAUAUACCCUUUGCAGUAAUCAUUCAGGGAGGAAGAAAAACCUGGAACUUGAAUGAAGGCUGAUCUUUGUUUUGUGCACUGUGGCCCUGCCAGGCAUAUAGUGAAGGUGAAUGUCUUCUCCCUCAGAAAAAAAUUGGUUCCUUGCUGUCCCAGUAAGGCAUAGCUUUUCCAGCCCUAACUUUAAAACUCAGUGAGGACUUAGAUGGGAAAGAAUGAGGUAAAUACAAAGGAUUGCAGGACAACAACUACAGCGUUGUGUACUGUGGGAAGGGGAGUUGGGCACUCUUGGAGGACUCCUGCUGAAGGUGGUCAGCCUGCCUGACAAUGGAAGACAUACUUGAAUGGGGAGCAGGGUAUGUGCUUUCAUAUGAAAAAAGAGCUGAUGUUAAAACUCAUUUGGUGAGGUCAACGUUGUCACAUACCUUCACAUAAGGGAUAGUAUAUUUUGGGUUGCAGUCAAACUUGUGCUCAGACUGGUGAAACUGAGAGUCAGGCUUUUACAUUUUAAAGAAAAUACAGUUUUCAUUCUAAUUCAGGUGUCUACUUAUUUUAUGUAAGAAUAAUUUUAGAUUUCCCCCCCACCAUGAAGUUUCUUCCUAUUUUUUUAUGCUGUAACUUACCCCCAAUCUUUAUCUCUGGAUUUUUACUCUUUAAAUUUUGAAGUUGACUAGCAUUUUCAAACCUUUAUUUUAUACCCUUGUCUUUUAUAUUAACUUUUUCUUAUUAUUCUUUAGGUAAGAAUGAUUGAUGUUGGCUGAUAUUGGAGUGCUCAUUCACAUGAACAGGAUCAGGUGAGCUGUGUCCAGAAAACCAACGAGAAGGAGUGGAAGGAGGAAUGAACGUUUCAUUCUCGUUAAUAAAGGCAUUAUCCUAAUU